rnacentral:snoRNA from 1 species
GGGUCAAUGAUGAGCGUUUAAUAUUGCUGGAGGAGCGGUGAUGACUGAAAUUUCACGCAUGACACUGAGACCC